AGUGUGCUCUAAAAAGGUCGCCUGUGAGAAAAAGUUUUCGAUAAUUCAGCAUAUUGGGACAAGACUUCACAAACAUUUGUGAGGCAUUCCUCAGUGCCGAUAUUCCUUUAUCAAUAAUGAGUAAACCCCAAGCUACGAUCAUUUCUUAAAAAGCGUACCAUGAAGUCAGUUCCCGAUGAGAGUACCUUAAGAAAAAGGUAGGUACGUGGACAAAGUGUUUCAAAAAACGAAGCAGGUUAUUCGUCAAAUUAUAAGUGAUAAUCUAAUUUAUUUUCAUGUCGAUGAAACAACCGAUUAAUGUGGUGGACGUUAUGUCGCAAAUUUGUUGAUUGGAACUGUGACAAGUGAAACAUGUGGCACUUCAUAUUUGAUUAGCACAAAAGUUUUGGAAAAGACAGUUGAGGAAAUUGGUGGAAAGUUGUUUCGACAGAAGUUCCGUCGCUCCUGAAGUACAAUGAAACAUAUCCAGCAUUUUCGAAAAAUUAU